UACGAAGGGGGCUAGCGUUGCUCGGAAUUACUGGGCGUAAAGGGCGCGUAGGCGGACAGUUUAGUCAGAGGUGAAAGCCCAGGGCUCAACCUUGGAAUUGCCUUUGAUACUGGCUGUCUUGAGUUCGGGAGAGGUGAGUGGAAUGCCGAGUGUAGAGGUGAAAUUCGUGGAUAUUCGGCGGAACACCAGUGGCGAAGGCGACUCACUGGCCCGAUACUGACGCUGAGGCGCGAAAGCGUGGGGAGCAAACAGG
rnacentral:rRNA from 1 species